rnacentral:lncRNA from 1 species
ACUGUGUGCUGCUGAGUAAUGUGAAGAGAUAUGGGGGUCAGAAACACACACUGGCUUUAGGCAUCUAUCUACAACAUUUUUUUAAUGGAGCUCAUAUUCCCACCUCGUGUUCAUGCCAAGGAUACUGGAAGUACCCAGCACAGUUCAGAAGUGCUCAGCAAACUGUAGUGCUUAGUCACUGGUUUCACUGGUGACCAGAAGAAAAAUUAUGACGUGGAAACAGG